GAUGAACGUUGGCGGCGUGCCUAACACAUGCAAGUCGAACGAUAGUCGCAAGACUAUAGUGGCGCACGGGUGAGUAACACGUAGCUUACCAGCCUCUCAGCGCGGGAUAACGGCUCGAAAGAGGUGCUAAUACCGCAUAAGCUCACGGGAUGUAGAGACUAGUGAGAAAAGGUGCAAAUCACUGAGAGGACGGGGCUGCGGCCCAUCAGCUAGNGGUGCGGUAACGGCGCACCAAGGCGACGGACGGGUAGGGACCU
rnacentral:rRNA from 1 species